rnacentral:lncRNA from 1 species
GAAAAGGACAUCAGUGGCAAGACCCAGAUCCAGUCUGUAGAACCAUAUACCAAGCAGCAGCUGAACAACAUGUCAUUUGCUGAAAUCAUCAUGGGCUAUAAGAUCAUGGACGCUACCAACAUCCUGGUAUCCCCACUGGUCUACCUCUACCCUGACAUUCCCAAGGAGGAGGCAUUCGGAAAGUAUUGUCGCCCCGAGAGCCAGGAGCACCCUGAAGCUGACCCAGGUGCUGCCCCUUACCUGAAGACCAAGUUCAUCUGUGUGACACCAACGACCUGCAGCAAUACCAUUGACCUGCCGAUGUCCCCCCGCACUUUAGAUUCAUUGAUGCAGUUUGGAAAUAACGGGGAAGGCGCUGAGCCCUCAGCAGGAGGGCAGUUUG